AGCGAACGCUGGCGGCAGGCUUAACACAUGCAAGUCGAGCGGGCACUUCGGUGUCAGCGGCAGACGGGUGAGCAACACGUGGGAACGUACCCUUCGGUUCGGAAUAACGCUGGGAAACUAGCGCUAAUACCGGAUACGCCCUUUUGGGGAAAGGUUUACUGCCGAAGGAUCGGCCCGCGUCUGAUUAGCUAGUUGGUGGGGUAAUGGCCUACCAAGGCGACGAUCAGUAGCUGGGCUGAGAGGAUGAUCAGCCACACUGGGACUGAGACACGGCCCAGACUCCUACGGGAGGCAGCAGUGGGGAAUAUUGGACAAUGGGCGCAAGCCUGAUCCAGCCAUGCCGCGUGAGUGAUGAAGGCCUUAGGGUUGUAAAGCUCUUUUGUCCGGGACGAUAAUGACGGUACCGGAAGAAUAAGCCCCGGCUAACUUCGUG
rnacentral:rRNA from 1 species